rnacentral:tRNA from 1 species
UGACCGCUGGCGCAACGGCAGCGCGGCUCCCUGUUAAGGAGAAGGUUCCAGGUUCGAGUCCUGGGCGGUCAG